GGCAGAAGAAUUGCUUGAACCCGGGAGGCAAAGGUUGCAGUGAGCCGAGAUCGCACCAUUUCACCCCAACCUGGGGCAACAAGAGCAAAGCGCUGUAUCCAAAAAAAAAAAAAAAAAGUUUGUUUCUCCUAAUACUAUAAUCCCCACAAGGAUAAAAGAGAAAGUACUUGGAGAAUUCAAGAAAUGAAACCAUGACCGACGGGCUGCUACUCCAGUGUGUGAAACGUCACUUCCUCAGGGACACCUUCCUUGCCCCCUCCCCAGGCUGUGACUAUGGCUACACACACACAGAGCACCUUGCACUUUUCCUGCUUAACGUCGUGCCUCUAUUGGAGCUACUAACCAAAAAAUAAAAAGAAACUGGAACCAGAGAGGAUCAGUUUUAUAAAUGCCAAUUCAGAAAGGUGAGCCAAGCAGGAGAAAAGAAAGAAAGAGGGGAGACCAAGAUCAGAACUUGGCCAACUCCUGAUUCUCCAAGGUACAAAUUCUCUGCUAUGUUACCUACCCAGGCCUCUCUUCCGCUCCUCUCUUCUGAUUGGACAUAGGGAAUUGGAGGAACAUGUCUUAGGAAAGAUGCCAUCACGUGCUUAGACUGAGGCAGUCCCAGAAGUCUGGAGCUGGAGGAUAACAUUAGAGGUCCCUAGUCAAGUUUCCUUAUUAAGUUUCUUUAUUAUACAGACGAAGACUCAAGGCCCAGAAAGGUGAAGGGAUGAGUGGACAUCUCUAAACAUGACCCAGAGAAAACAAAUGACUUUGUUUAGUUUUCUGAUCUCAAGUAGGAGGAAAUAAUUAGAAAAAAUAUUCCAAACAUUUGAAAAGCUGUUUCUUAGUAUUUAUUGACUAUGCAUGGUAUGUUUCAUCCUGAAUUUGAUGCAGUGGUAUAGAAAAAUCAUGGGCUUGAAGAUAUUUCCUCAACAGACAAACUCGACACAUAUGAAACACUCAGCCAGUGGUGUUAGAAGCAAGGGUGAACGUGGACGACCACACUCUGAGGGUGAUAGUUUGUUACUCAAGAAAGGAAUGGCUUUCCUCUCCAGCCUUCUGGGGCUUACAGGCUAGAUGGAGUUACACAGGAAUUGUGUGAAGCCCAUGAUCAGAGAUGCGCCACAUUGAUGGAAAGGGAGAUCCUCUGGAGUUUUUGGUUUGUGGAGGUAGGAGAAUCCUCUCCCUUCAGCCAUUCCAAAGGGCCUGUUGUUCAUGAGGAUUUGGAAUCUUGAGAUGGUUACAGAUCAUUACCUGAGUCAUCAGGAAGAAGUCCCUGACCUAUUCUCUCUUCCUUCUUCCUUUUCUGUUUUCUCCUUAUCACAUUGUGGCUCAAGGCUUUCUAGAAGACCUGUUCUGAUUUCAGAAUCUAUUGUCCAUGAUCUUUCUCAAUGUUUUAUUUUCUUUUCUUGCUGGUUGGAUCACAGUCAGCUUUGAUCUCUCAUUAACCAGAAAUUUCUAUUCCUUUGACUCAUUCAUUUCCUUUACCAGGAAAUUAAAAAUGAGCCACUGUUUUAUCAGGUAUAACCUGUAUAUGAUUUU